rnacentral:tRNA from 1 species
GUUCUUGUAGUUAAAUUUUUAUAACAGUGGUUUUUCAGGCCGCAGAUCUCGGAGGAAGGCCGAGCAAGAAUU